rnacentral:rRNA from 1 species
AUGGGGUGCUUUUCCUGCUGCGGAGCCGAUGAUGUUGGCAAGAAAAAGAAGCGCGAUGAUCCUUAUGUUCCGGUCCCUGCCCCAGGGGGUAACUAUGGUUAUAACCGGGGGCCAGCGCCAACCCAUGCCGUCCGUACCAGUAGAAGCCAGCUAAUUGAAGUACCAGCCAUUCCCCUAGACGAAAUUAAGGAAAUAACCAAGAACUUCAGCAGUGAUGCUCUUAUAGGAGAGGGUUCAUACGCAAGAGUUUUCCUUGGUGUACUGAAGGAUGGCAAGAAAUCUGCAGUGAAGAGGCUUGACUCCAGCAAACAGCCUGACCAAGAAUUCCUUGUGCAGGUCUCGGCUGUUUCAAGACUCAAGCAUGACAAUGUCAUCCAACUUCUCGGGUACUGUGCUUUAGGGAGCACCCGUAUUCUUGCUUAUGAGUAUGCAACAAGGGGCUCCUUGCAUGAUGUUCUCCAUGGUAAAAAGGGCGUCAAGGGAUCCCAACCAGGACCAGUCCUAUCGUGGAUGCAGCGGGCGAGGAUUGCUGUAAGCGCCGCGAGAGGGCUCGAAUUCCUCCACGAGAAGGCAGAGCCACGUGUCGUCCACCGUGAUAUCAAGUCCAGCAACAUACUGCUCUUUGACAACGAUGUUGCAAAAAUAGGAGAUUUCGAUGUGUCUAAUCAGGCCCCUGACAUGGCUGCACGCCUUCAUUCUACACGUGUUCUUGGCACCUUUGGUUAUCAUGCUCCUGAGUAUGCAAUGACUGGGCAGUUAAGCGCAAAGAGCGAUGUAUAUAGCUUUGGAGUGGUGUUGUUGGAGCUUUUAACUGGCCGCAAACCAGUUGAUCAUACACUUCCCCGUGGCCAGCAGAGCCUUGUGACAUGGGCUACACCAAGGCUAAGUGAAGACAAGGUGCGGCAAUGUUUAGAUCCAAAGCUUGGUGUGGAUUACCCUCCAAAGGCUGUCGCCAAGAUGGCUGCCGUGGCUGCCCUGUGCGUGCAGUACGAGGCGGAUUUCCGGCCAAACAUGGGCAUCGUCGUCAAGGCUCUGGCCCCGCUGCUGAACACCCGGACAAGCAACCGACCUGCCGGCUCGGCCUCCAGCGUCGCCGUCGAGUGA